UGCUUUUUAACUGUUCCAUCUAUAGUGACUGAUUUAUUGAGCUACAAUCAGAAGUGUAAUUAUCCUCUUUAUUGUAGCAGUUAUCGCUUCUCUGGAAACAAGUGGCAGACAUAUUGGAUCAGCACUGACGUUUAAGCCAUUAUGGUGGUGGCAGUUCUGAAACUCUUUGGGAACCAGGGAUCGCAGUAAAACAUGAGGAACCGGAUCAGGACAUUUGGACAGAACUGUUUAUUGUAAAGUUCUACAGCAUCCUCGUGUUCUGCAAGGAACGAAAACAUUUCCUCAGUCUUCUCUCCUGAAGCUGUUUCUUGUGGACUCGCUGUGUUCAAUCAUUAACAGCAGCUCAUUGGUUCAUUGAUCAGUAAUGAGAGUUGAGGGAGCAGCUUGUUAUAAA